rnacentral:misc_RNA from 1 species
GAUGAAGAACGUAGCGAAAUGCGAUAAGUAAUGUGAAUUGCAGAAUUCAGUGAAUCAUCGAAUCUUUGAACGCACAUUGCGCCCUCUGGUAUUCCGGGGGGCAUGCCUGCUCGAGCGUCAUUAUAACCACUCAAGCUCUCGCUUGGUAUUGGGGUUCGCGGUUUCGCGGCCCCUAAAAUCAGUGGCGGUGCCUGUCGGCUCUACGCGUAGUAAUACUUCUCGCGAUUGAGUUCGAUAGGUCUACUUGCCAGUAACCCCCAAUUUUUACAGGUUGACCUCGGAUCAGGUAGGGAUACCCGCUGAACUUAAGCAUAUCAAUAAGCGGAGGA